UCACCCCCCAUGUCACAAGCUCGUGGAAAUUCUGCCAUCCUUCAAGACCCCCUCCAAAUGCUAGCUACUUCCUGCAUACAGUCUUUCCUGAUCCCAUCCCUCCUGCUUUAGGUGUUCCUCCUCUUCUGAAGCUCCAGAAUUUGUCUUUUCUGCCUAAGAAUCCCUCAGGUUUCAACAGCUGGAGAUAUCAAGCCGUAAGGACCGCAGCUGACGGGCACCGCGGAAGAAGGCGGCUGAGGAGAGGCAACUAUGCACCCAGACCAGGCCUGAGGGUGCCUGAAGUCCUGCAAAGAGUUUUCACAGGCCACGCAGGGGCUGUUAUCUGGGAACAAAGCGGGACAGGGUAUUCAGGAGCCAAAGCUGGAAAGGAUCCAGUGAAGCAGGAGUGAGCGUGGUGGGAGCUCGCCUGCCUGUGAUUCCUCCUCCAAGGGCAUACACAACGCCUGGAAAUCUGGUUUAUCCAACAUUUUCAUAUUUUCCCCCAGGCUUUCUAAACCCUCAACUCCUCUGCGGGAAACACCAUCAAACUAAGGUUGAUGCACCACUAACUCAAGUGGAAUGCUGUGGUCAUCAAGGCCCUGAUCUUGACCAUGAGCUCCUUAAGAAUAAGUCGUAUCUGUAGCAAGAUCUCCCUCUAUCACAGUGUCUAGCACCAACUACAUACACACAUAUAGAUGAUUGGUGUUUCUAGUUUAUCCGCUUAUAUUUUUCCCACCUCACCAACCUGGCUGGUAGAACCUUCCAGAUCUCAACUUAGAUGAGAGCAAAAUAAGAAAGUUUUUGUUGUUGUUUUAAAGAUAUGUUUUUUUUAAUAAUAAGACAAAGGCAUGGAUAAGUUAACUGCUUGAUGAAGAUGAUGAAAUAAAAAAGCAGAACGAU